rnacentral:snRNA from 1 species
CCAGGGCCGGCCCUGCUCAGCCAU